UACACAGUAACCAAUUUAUAUUUAAUAUAUACAUAAAAAUUAAGCUAUACAGAUGUCAGGGAUGUCAUUGAUAUCUGCAUGUUGAGGCUUAAUUAACAUACAGGUUUACUAAAUUUCACUCCAGUCCUGGUUUCAGUCAAUGAAUGAGCAAAACAAACAGAGAGAAAAGAGGACUUGGUGACUCAUGAAUUUGUAUUCUAUGGAGCUGAUGCUCCUCACAGUGACCACUAAAAUUACAUUAAAAAUGACAAAGGGGGCCGGGCGCGGUGGCUCACGCCUGUAAUGCCAGCACUUUGGGAGACCGAGGCGGGCGGAUCACGAGGUCAGGAGAUAGAGACCAUCCUGGCUACCACGGUGAAACCCCGUCUCUACUAAAAAUACUAGAAAAUUAGCCGGGCGAGGUGGCGGGCACCUGUAGUCCCAGCUACUCGGGAGCCUGAGGCAGGAGAAUGGCGUGAACCCGGGAGGCGGAGCUUGCAGUGAGCCGAGAUCCCGCCACUGCACUCCAGCCUGGGCGACAGAGCAAGACUCCAUCUCAAAAAAAAAAAAAUUUAAAAAAAUUUUUAAAAAAAGGAUGUUUGAUGAUUGUCUAGAUACAUCUUUUCAAGCAGAGUUAUCUUACUGAUAUUUAGGUGAUAAAUGACAAGGAAGCAAAGUGGCUAUGUAGUUAAUGAAGAAGACAUUUGAAUAUGAGUAUAAGCAUAAAUGCACUCAACCUCUCUGUUUUCCUCCAAAAUAUUUAGGAAAAUUGAAAGUUUUUUUCUUAGGCAGUGAAAAAUAACAAUUUCUUAGGGGAAAAAACAACUUAACUGGGGACAUUUUGUUCAUGCAGGGGCACCCUCAGUGGUCCAACGGGAGUUACUCUUAUUCCUUGACCAGCAGAGGUGUCCAAUUAGAACUUUGUCUCAUCUACAACAAUCAAAUGCCCUAUCCUCGUCACAGUUGUACCACAGCAACUAGAAAAGUAACAGGCACAUGGUAGGUGUUUGAGUAAUAUCUGUUCAAUUAAUCUCACAUAGGGAUGGGUUUAAAUAAUCU
ensembl:lncRNA